rnacentral:rRNA from 1 species
UACAGAGGGGGCUAGCGUUAUUCGGAAUUAUUGGGCGUAAAGGGCGCGUAGGCGGCCAUGCGUGUCUUCCGUGAAAUCCCUCGGCUUAACUGAGGACGUGCGGAAGAAACUGCAAGGCUCGAGUCCGGGAGAGGGGGGUGGAAUUCCCAGUGUAGCGGUGAAAUGCGUAGAUAUUGGGAGGAACACCGGUGGCGAAGGCGGCCCCCUGGACCGGUACUGACGCUGAGGCGGCGAAAAGCGUGGGUAGCAAAC